rnacentral:rRNA from 1 species
CAAACUGGAGGAUGGCGACCGGCGCACGGGUGAGUAACACGUAUCCAACCUGCCGAUAACUCGGGGAUAGCCUUUCGAAAGAAAGAUUAAUACCCGAUGGCAUAAUAGAACCGCAUGGUUUGAUUAUUAAAGAAUUUCGGUUAUCGAUGGGGAUGCGUUCCAUUAGGCAGUUGGUGGGGUAACGGCCCACCAAACCUUCGAUGGAUAGGGGUUCUGAGAGGAAGGUCCCCCACAUUGGAACUGAGACACGGUCCAAACUCCUACGGGAGGCAGCAUG